GUGCUUGCUUCAGCAGCACAUAUAUUAAAAUUGGAAUGAUACAAAGAUUAGCAUGGCCCCUGGGCAAGGAUGAUACUGCAAAUUUGUAGUCUUCCAUAUUUUU